rnacentral:rRNA from 1 species
AUUGAACGCUGGCGGCAGGCCUAACACAUGCAAGUCGAACGAGUGGCGGACGGGUGAGUAAGGUCUGGGAAACUGCCUGAUGGAGGGGGAUAAAUACUGGAAAAGGUAGCUAAUACCGCAUACCAUCAGAUGUGCCCAGAUGGGAUUAGCUAGUUGGUGGGGUAACGGCUCACCAAGGCGACGAUCCCUAGCUGGUCUGAGAGGAUGACCGGCCACACUGGAACUGAGACACGGUCCAGACUCCUACGGGAGGCAGCAGUGGGGAAUAUUGCACAAUGGGCGAAAGCCUGAUGCAGCCAUGCCGCGUGUAUGAAGAAGGCCUUCGGGUUGUAAAGUACUGUCGGCGGGGAGGCGUUACCCACAGAGGAAGCACCGGCUAACUCCGUGCCAGCAGCCGCGGUAAUUC